GUCUUUUUAGUAUAAAAAAAUAUAAAUGACUUCCAAUUAUUAGACCUCGGUUAAAUCUGAGAAAAGACA
rnacentral:tRNA from 1 species